CGGCCGCGCGGAGGGGACGAGCUGCGCACUUGGAAAGUUACCCGGCGGCCUGGUUCCUGAGCAACAUGGGAAAUGGUUCAGUGAAACCCAAGCAUUCGAAGCACCCAGACGGCCAGUCAGGGAACCUCAGCAAUGAAGCCCUGCGGAGCAAAGUGGCAGAGCUGGAGCGCGAGGUGAAGAGGAAGGAUGCAGAACUUCAGGAGCGCGAGUACCACCUGAAGGAGCUUCGGGAGCAGCUGGCUAAGCAGACCGUGGCCAUUGCGGAGCUCACCGAGGAGCUGCAGAGCAAGUGCAUCCAGCUGAACAAGCUGCAGGAUGUUAUCCACGUGCAGGGAGGAAGCCCACUGCAGGCCUCUCCCGACAAAGUGCCUCUGGAUGUUCACCGCAAGACCUCAGGCUUGGUCUCCCUCCACAGCA
rnacentral:lncRNA from 1 species